rnacentral:rRNA from 1 species
GACUCUCGGCAACGGAUAUCUUGGCUCUCGCAUCGAUGAAGAACGUAGCGAAAUGCGAUACGUGGUGUGAAUUGCAGAAUCCCGUGAACCAUCGAGUCUUUGAACGCAAGUUGCGCCCGAGGGACCUGCCCGAGGGCUCACCUGCCUCAUGGG